AAUGAACGCUGGCGGCAUGCCUAACACAUGCAAGUCGAACGAGACCUUCGGGUCUAGUGGCGCACGGGUGCGUAACGCGUGGGAAUCUGCCCUUGGGUUCGGAAUAACAGUUAGAAAUGACUGCUAAUACCGGAUGAUGUCGUAAGACCAAAGAUUUAUCGCCCAAGGAUGAGCCCGCGUAGGAUUAGCUAGUUGGUGAGGUAAAAGCUCACCAAGGCGACGAUCCUUAGCUGGUCUGAGAGGAUGAUCAGCCACACUGGGACUGAGACACGGCCCAGACUCCUACGGGAGGCAGCAGUGGGGAAUAUUGGACAAUGGGCGAAAGCCUGAUCCAGCAAUGCCGCGUGAGUGAUGAAGGCCUUAGGGUUGUAAAGCUCUUUUACCCGGGAUGAUAAUGACAGUACCGGGAGAAUAAGCUCCGGCUAACUUCGUGCCAGCCGCCGCGGUAA
rnacentral:rRNA from 1 species